rnacentral:lncRNA from 1 species
CUGGCGGUGUGGACAAGGUUCCUGCCGGUGAGGACAAGGUUCCUGCCGGUGAGCACAAGGUUCCUGGCGGUGAGGACAAGGUACCUGGCGGUGUGGACAAGGUUCCUGCCGGUGAGGACAAGGUUCCUGCCGGUGAGGACAAGGUUCCUGCCGGUGAGGACAAGGUUCCUGGCGGUGUGGACAAGGUACCUGGCGGUGAGGACAAGGUUCCUGCCGGUGAGGACAAGGUUCCUGGCGGUGAGGACAAGGUUCCUGGCGGUGUGGACAAGGUUUCUGUCGGUGAGGACAAGGUUCCUGCCGGUGAGGACAAGGUUUUACGCGGUGAGCACAAGG